rnacentral:rRNA from 1 species
GCCCUGUGAGGGAGCUGUGGAGGGGGUGGGAGUGAGAAUGCAGGCAUGAGUAGCGAAAGCAGAGUGAGAAACUCUGCCGCCGAUUGACCAAGGGUUCCUGGGCCAGGUUAUUCCGCCCAGGGUGAGCCGGGACCUAAGGCGAGGCCGACAGGCGUAGUCGAUGGAUAACGGGUUGAUAUUCCCGUGCCCGUGCUGGCGCGACAAUGGUGAGUCCAGUGAUACUAACCACCUCGGCUCUGUGCGCUGCUUUCGGGUGGUGUGUGGGGUUGGGCUGGGGCCUGAUCUGGUAGUAGCCAAGCGAUGGGGUGACGCAGGAGGGUAGCUCCGCCAGUGAGUGGUUGUACUGGUGUAAGCCUGUAGCCUGGCAUCUAGGUAAAUCCGGGUGCCGUGAAGGGUGAGAGGUGACGCGUAGCCGAUUGAGGCGAAGUAGAGUGAUCCCGUGCUGCCGAGAAAAGCCUCUAGCGAGUUCUUGCACGGCCCGUACCCUAAACCGACACAGGUGGUCAGGUAGAGAAUACCGAGGCGAUCGAGCGAACUGUGGUUAAGGAACUCGGCAAAAUGCCCCCGUAACUUCGGGAGAAGGGGGACCGGUUGCCUUGAAGCCCCUUGCGGGCUAGGGGUGGCCGGUCGCAGAGACCAGGCCCAAGCGACUGUUUACUAAAAACACAGGUCCGUGCGAAGUCGUAAGACGAUGUAUACGGACUGACGCCUGCCCGGUGCUGGAACGUUAAGAGGACCCGUUAGUCGUAAGGCGAAGCGGAGAAUUUAAGCGCCAGUAAACGGCGGUGGUAACUAUAACCAUCCUAAGGUAGCGAAAUUCCUUGUCGGGUAAGUUCCGACCUGCACGAAUGGCGUAACGACUUGGGCGCUGUCUCAACCACAGACUCGGCGAAAUUGCACUACGAGUAAAGAUGCUCGUUACGCGCGGCAGGACGGAAAGACCCCGGGACCUUUACUAUAGCUUGGUAUUGGUGCUCGGUUCGGAUUGUGUAGGAUAGGUGGGAGACUGUGAAGCUGUCACGCUAGUGGUGGUGGAGUCGUUGUUGAAAUACCACUCUGUUCGGAUUGGGUGUCUAACCUCGGACCGUGAUCCGGUUCAGGGACAGUGCCUGGUGGGUAGUUUAACUGGGGCGGUUGCCUCCCAAAGAGUAACGGAGGCGCCCAAAGGUUCCCUCAGCCUGGUUGGCAAUCAGGUGGCGAGUGUAAGUGCACAAGGGGGCUUGACUGUGAGACUGACGGGUCGAGCAGGGACGAAAGUCGGGACUAGUGAUCCGGCACCUCCUGGUGGAAGGGGUGUCGCUCAACGGAUAAAAGGUACCCCGGGGAUAACAGGCUGAUCUUGCCCAAGAGUCCAUAUCGACGGCAUGGUUUGGCACCUCGAUGUCGGCUCGUCGCAUCCUGGGGCUGGAGUAGGUCCCAAGGGUUGGGCUGUUCGCCCAUUAAAGCGGCACGCGAGCUGGGUUUAGAACGUCGUGAGACAGUUCGGUCCCUAUCCGCCGCGCGCGUUGGAGACUUGAGGAAGGCUGUCCCUAGUACGAGAGGACCGGGACGGACGGACCUCUGGUGUGCCAGUUGUCCCGCCAGGGGCAUGGCUGGUUGGCUACGUUCGGGAGGGAUAACCGCUGAAGGCAUCUAAGCGGGAAGCCUGUUCCAAGAUGAGGUCU